rnacentral:lncRNA from 1 species
AAAUAAACAAUAGCAACCUACUGAAAAAUCUCUCCUGCCUCACCUUUCAAUUUCAGGAAUUUAAGAGGAAUCACAGAGAAAUAAAGCACUGCAAAGAACUGCAGGAUGCAAAUGCUUGCUUGGGUUGAUAAGAAGGUGCAUAUAAGAGCAAAGCUGUGAAGAUGGCUCAGGCAGACCUGGGCAGGAGAAAGCACCAGCACAAACUGGUUCAUGUGUUCUUAAUAGACUGUCAUUUAAUGUCAUUCAAGAUCUACAAAACAUCAUUUUUGCAUGACUACUGCAAAAGGACUACUAUACAGAAGCCAGUUCCUUUUGCGAGAGGACAAUUUGGACCCUGUUUCAGAAAGCAGGUACAUUUCUUCUUUUACUAAACCUCCUUUCAGUGGGAAAGAAUGAUGAAGCG